rnacentral:rRNA from 1 species
UACGUAGGGUGCAAGCGUUAAUCGGAAUUACUGGGCGUAAAGCGUGCGCAGGCGGUUGUGUAAGACAGAUGUGAAAUCCCCGGGCUCAACCUGGGAACUGCAUUUGUGACUGCACAGCUGGAGUACGGUAGAGGGGGAUGGAAUUCCGCGUGUAGCAGUGAAAUGCGUAGAUAUGCGGAGGAACACCGAUGGCGAAGGCAGUCCCCUGGACCUGUACUGACGCUCAUGCACGAGAGCGUGGGGAGCAAACAGGAUUAGAUACCCUGGUAGUCCACGCCCUAAACGAUGUCAACUGGUUGUUGGGUGGGUUUCUACUCAGUAACGAAGCUAACGCGUGAAGUUGACCGCCUUGGGAGUACGGCCGCAAGGUUGAA